ACAUUUUAAUAUAGGAGGUAUAUUAAUUUUUGAUAUUAAAGGGGAUAGUUUAAUUCUAUCAAAUGUAU
rnacentral:tRNA from 1 species